ACGAACGCUGGCGGCACGCUUAACACAUGCAAGUCGAACGAGAGAAGAGAAGCUUGCUUUUCUGAUCUAGUGGCGGACGGGUGAGUAACACGUGAGCAAUCUGCCUUUCAGAGGGGGAUACCGAUUGGAAACGAUCGUUAAUACCGCAUAACAUAAUUGAACCGCAUGAUUUGAUUAUCAAAGAUUUAUCGCUGAAAGAUGAGCUCGCGUCUGAUUAGCUAGUUGGUAAGGUAACGGCUUACCAAGGCGACGAUCAGUAGCCGGACUGAGAGGUUGAUCGGCCACAUUGGGACUGAGACACGGCCCAGACUCCUACGGGAGGCAGCAGUGGGGAAUAUUGCACAAUGGAGGAAACUCUGAUGCAGCGAUGCCGCGUGAGGGAAGAAGGUUUUAGGAUUGUAAACCUCUGUCUUCAGGGACGAAAAAUGACGGUACCUGAGGAGGAAGCUCCGGCUAACUACGUGCCAGCAGCCGCGGUAAUACGUAGGGAGCGAGCGUUGUCCGGAAUUACUGGGUGUAAAGGGAGCGUAGGCGGGAUCGCAAGUCAGAUGUGAAAACUAUGGGCUUAACCCAUAAACUGCAUUUGAAACUGUGGUUCUUGAGUGAAGUAGAGGUAAGCGGAAUUCCUAGUGUAGCGGUGAAAUGCGUAGAUAUUAGGAGGAACAUCAGUGGCGAAGGCGGCUUACUGGGCUUUAACUGACGCUGAGGCUCGAAAGCGUGGGGAGCAAACAGGAUUAGAUACCCUGGUAGUCCACGCCGUAAACGAUGAUUACUAGGUGUGGGGGGACUGACCCCUUCCGUGCCGCAGCAAACGCAAUAAGUAAUCCACCUGGGGAGUACGACCGCAAGGUUGAAACUCAAAGGAAUUGACGGGGGCCCGCACAAGCAGUGGAGUAUGUGGAUUAAUUCGAAGCAACGCGAAGAACCUUACCAGGUCUUGACAUCGUAUGCAUAGCUCAGAGAUGAGUGAAAUCUCUUCGGAGACAUAUAGACAGGUGGUGCAUGGUUGUCGUCAGCUCGUGUCGUGAGAUGUUGGGUUAAGUCCCGCAACGAGCGCAACCCUUACUGUUAGUUGCUACGCAAGAGCACUCUAGCAGGACUGCCGUUGACAAAACGGAGGAAGGUGGGGAUGACGUCAAAUCAUCAUGCCCCUUAUGACCUGGGCCUCACACGUACUACAAUGGCUGUUAACAGAGGGAUGCAAAGCCGCGAGGUAGAGCGAAUCCCUAAAAGCAGUCUUAGUUCGGAUUGUAGGCUGCAACCCGCCUACAUGAAGUCGGAAUUGCUAGUAAUCGCAGAUCAGCAUGCUGCGGUGAAUACGUUCCCGGGCCUUGUACACACCGCCCGUCACGCCAUGGGAGUCGGUAACACCCGAAGCCUGUAGUCUAACCGCAAGGAGGACGCAGUCGAAGGUGGGAUUGAUGACUGGGGUG
rnacentral:rRNA from 1 species